rnacentral:tRNA from 1 species
GGGCCCGUAGUUUAGUGGCUAUAACGCUGCCUCGACAUGGCAGAUGUCGUCGGUUCGAGUCCGGCCGGGCCCA